CUAAGGAUGGUUCUUCAGAAGCUUGCUUCUAUCGAACCGUUUUAGAAACAUCAGUGGCCAACAGAUCGCCAGAUCGUUGAGCUGCAUUGGCGGGAUUUCGCCGUCUACGUUUCUCUUUCUUCGCGGACGAACACGCGCUGGGGCUGCAGGCUUGCAGAAUCCCCGGUCCUUAACUGGAUAUGCGUUAGGGGCUUGUAGCUCAGUUGGUUAGAGCGCGCGCUUGAUAAGCGUGAGGUCGGAAGUUCAAGUCUUCCCAGGCCCACCACUUUCAUCGAGUGAGCAUUCGUCUUCUGGUUACGGGGCCAUAGCUCAGCUGGGAGAGCGCGUGCUUUGCAAGCAUGAGGUCGUCGGUUCGAUCCCGUCUGGCUCCACCAGAUGGUUUGAUCACCGAGAUCUUGUACCGUCGUCCGCGAACAUCACUUCGCACUUACUAGUCUGGAUAGACAGUAGGUUGCGUGAUUUCUGACAUCGUAAAGAGGAGAUCGAUCCGAGUUGGAUCGUGCGGCAAGCAAUUGCCACGCGAGACUUCAUUAUCUCCGGAUCAUUUCGGCGCUCGUGCGUCUUUCAAAGGUAGCUCACAAGGCUGCACUUGAGAGACAAGCGAGUUGUAAAUGAUCCUUUUAGCGAAGCUUGACCGCCUCGCUAUCGGAACGAUCUUACGAAGCAAGCUGGUCUUUCUAAUCAUUGUCCGGCUGCAGAUAGCGUUCAUCGAGGGCGCGUGCCGCAAGGUAAUUCUGCAGACAACAUUCUGCCGAGUGUGUGGACAUUGAUAAUGAGAGC
rnacentral:tRNA from 2 species